UACGGGGGGGAGCAAGCGUUGUUCGGAUUUACUGGGCGUAAAGAGCGCGCAGGCGGUCGUUCAAGUCGCGUGUGAAAGCCCCCGGCUCAACUGGGGAGGGUCACGCGAUACUGAUCGACUCGAAGGCAGGAGAGGGUAGUGGAAUUCCCGGUGUAGUGGUGAAAUGCGUAGAUAUCGGGAGGAACACCAGUGGCGAAGGCGACUACCUGGCCUGUUCUUGACGCUGAGGAGCGAAAGCGUGGGGAGCGAACAGG
rnacentral:rRNA from 1 species